rnacentral:rRNA from 2 species
GAUUAGUGGCGAACGGGUGAGUAACACGUGAGUAACCUGCCCCUGACUCUGGGAUAAGCCCGGGAAACUGGGUCUAAUACCGGAUAUGACUUCCUACUGCAUGGUGGGUUGUUGAAAGAUUUAUCGGUGGGGGAUGGACUCGCGGCCUAUCAGCUUGUUGGUGAGGUAAUGGCUCACCAAGGCGACGACGGGUAGCCGGCCUGAGAGGGUGACCGGCCACACUGGGACUGAGACACGGCCCAGACUCCUACGGGAGGCAGCAGUGGGGAAUAUUGCACAAUGGGCGGAAGCCUGAUGCAGCGACGCCGCGUGAGGGAUGACGGCCUUCGGGUUGUAAACCUCUUUCAGUAGGGAAGAAGCGAAAGUGACGGUACCUGCAGAAGAAGCGCCGGCUAACUACGUGCCAGCAGCCGCGGUAAUACGUAGGGCGCAAGCGUUAUCCGGAUUUAUUGGGCGUAAAGAGCUCGUAGCGGUUUGUCGCGUCUGCCGUGAAAGUCCGAGGCUCAACCUCGGAUCUGCGGUGGGUAACGGGCAGACUAGAGUGAUGUAGGGGAGACUGGAAUUCCUGGUGUAGCCGGUGAAAUGCGCAGAUAUCAGGAGGAACACCGAUGGCGGAAGGCAGGUCUCUGGGCAUUUACUGACGCUGAGGAGCGAAAGCAUGGGGAGCGAACAGGAUUAGAUACCCUGGUAGUCCAUGCCGUAAACGUUGCGCACUAGGGUGUGGGGCACAUUCCAACGUUUUCCGCGCCGUAGCUAACGCAUUAAGUGCCCCGCCUGGGGAGUACGGCCGGCAAGGCUAAAACUCAAAGGAAUGGACGGGGGCCCGCACAAAGCGGCGGAGCAUGCGGAUUAAUUCGAUGCAACGCGAAGAACCUUACCAAGGCUUGACAUGUGCCAGACCGCUCCAGAGAUGGGGUUUCCCUUUCGGGGCUGGUUCACAGGUGGUGCAUGGUUGUCGUCAGCUCGUGUCGUGAGAUGUUGGGUUAAGUCCCGCAACGAGCGCAACCCCUCGUUCCAUGUUGCCAGCACGUAAUUGGUGGGGACUCAUGGGAGACUGUCCGGGGUCAACUCGGAGGAAGGUGGGGAUGACGUCAAAUCAUCAUGCCCCUUAUGUCUUGGGCUUCACGCAUGCUACAAUGGNCCGGUACAAUGGGUUGCGAUACUGUGAGGUGGAGCUAAUCCCUUAAAAGCCGGUCUCAGUUCGGAUUGGGGUCUGCAACUCGACCCCAUGAAGUCGGAGUCGCUAGUAAUCGCAGAUCAGCAACGCUGCGGUGAAUACGUUCCCGGGCCUUGUACACACCGCCCGUCAAGUCACGAAAGUUGGUAACA